AUACGUAGGUGGCAAGCGUUGUCCGGAAUUAUUGGGCGUAAAGCGCGCGCAGGCGGUCCUUUAAGUCUGAUGUGAAAGCCCACGGCUCAACCGUGGAGGGUCAUUGGAAACUGGGGGACUUGAGUGCAGAAGAGGAAAGUGGAAUUCCAAGUGUAGCGGUGAAAUGCGUAGAGAUUUGGAGGAACACCAGUGGCGAAGGCGACUUUCUGGUCUGUAACUGACGCUGAGGCGCGAAAGCGUGGGGAGCAAACAGAAUUAGAUACCCUGGUAGUCCACGCCGUAAACGAUGAGUGCUAAGUGUUAGGGGGUUUCCGCCCCUUAGUGCUGCAGCUAACGCAUUAAGCACUCCGCCUGGGGAGUACGGUCGCAAGACUGAAACUCAAAUGAAUUGGCGGGG
rnacentral:rRNA from 1 species